rnacentral:ncRNA from 1 species
AUUUGCUUGACGGAGUGCGGUUUGAGACCGCUGAGAUUGCGUCUUUGGUGGGUGCGCCAUUGGUGUUCCACAUGAAACUUAUAACGCAAAAUCCGUUGAACCUGAACAGGUUAGUCCCUGCGUAGGAAUCAAGCACGUCCGCCAU